UAUAUAUAUUAAAGUGCAAGCUUUGAAGUAGUUGGCAAAAUUAAAGAGAAGAAGAAGAGUGAAGAAAACUCAAACCAUGAAGGAGAUAGCGAUGCUUGUCUGGUCAGGUUUCCUCUUAUCAGGAGAUUUUAUUUGCUCACUCCUGCUGCGCCUGCAGGAUGGUGACCCACCGGAAACCAGUAAUGGACGUCGUUCCAUUAUGAUGAUGGUUGGUUGAAGCUAUCUAGAGUUGGUUAGCAAAUAGAAGUUGUAACAUUCCAAGAUUUUUCUCUUGUUUUUCUUCUUUUUUCCAUCUUUUCUAUUACUUAUCAAGGAAAAGUUAUGGUUUCCUGGAAUUUGUAUUGAUGGAUUACAAUAAAUUCCGUAACUACUUGGUUUACACAUAAGAGGAAAUUGUACUUUUUGUUUAAAUUUUGAGUUGUUGGUA